ACAGCCAGUAGUGCUCGGAUUUGCCAUCUCUGCACCGUCGGAUUGGUUUCAUUCAACGACCAUCUUUCAAAGUUAUUCGCACACUAUAUAGGGGUAUAGAUAUAGAAAAUGAGAUGACAUGUAUCCCAAAUCCUAUGAGUAGGAUUAGGAAGAGAGAUGUCAUUUGGUCCACAUCAUAGGAAUUUUUUCAUUCAGUCUAGGCUCAUGUUUAUUUUCUUUUGAAAUGUGAAGGAUAGGAAUCAAUCCUAUAUAGGAAUAGGAGGAAUUCAUUCCUAUGAACCAAAGGGCUCUAAAGGAAAAAUUCCUACAAGAAUCCUAUCCUAUAGAAUUCCUAUGAAAUUCCUCCAAACCAGAGGAGGCCUUAAUUUAUACCUGCAGUCUAGAGGCAUCCAAUGAAUGUAUUACAGUUGGCUACCGCUAUUCUUUCCACUUUCUUCUUUGAGCUUUAGUAACUUGGUGAUAGAAUAGCACAUUUAUUCUGGAGCUACAAUGAUGAUCAGGUGCUACAACUUUAUCUGCACAACAGUCUGCUUUCUUACAUUGCUUGUUAAUUUUUAUGCAUUAAGACGUUGUGCCCAUGUCGCCCUCUGGUUACACUGUUAUGAUUGAGCAAGGAUUACACAGACCUCUAAAUUCAUGUCAGUCCAGCUGUACUUGAGGUAAUUGCAUGGGUAUGCUUUGUACUUCCUCUGUUCCUAAAUAUAGGUCUUUGUAGAGAUUUCACUAUGGUCUAUGUACGAAGCAAAAUGAGUGAAUCUACACUCUAAAAUGCAUCUACAUACAUCCGUAUGUGGUCUGUAGUGAAAUCUCUACAAAGACUUAUAUUUAGGAACGGAGGGAGUACUAGUUACCGCUUUAGCUCUGUUGUUUGCAUGCCAUUUUUGUCUUGUUGCUUGAACCGUGGAAGGUUGAUCUCACAGCGGGCCUAGAUGGGGAGGAUCAAGGAGACCAAGAGCAAUGUACAUUUAGCAUCAAAUUCAGAAAUGCAGUAUGUUGUGGGAACAGAUGUUAUAUUUUUCAGGUGUUCCAUUCUCUUGGUAUUGUCAGAAGGUUACAGUGUUCAAGAAGAAUGGUGGAAUGCUGGCUCUAAUUCAAUGUUCAGGUCACCAUGUCUUGUUCAGUGGAGCAAUUGUGAUUGUUGAUGUUCAGUUCUUCUGGAUCCAAUCCAUGCUGAUUGUGCUGUCCCGCAGGUAUUAAGGCCGGAGCGGAGCAGGAGCAGGAGCAGUGGAGCGGAUGGACACCGAACGGGGCCUAAGUAUGUAAAAGAAGAACGUGCCAUCAGCAAAAGUGUUCUCAAGAGAAUGCAGCUCAUCCAGAAAAAGACUUAGCAAUGUGCAAUAGUCAUCUCCAUGUAACUUCAAAAUGAUGAAUAAAUUCGAGACUGCCAUUAGCUUGCAGCAGCAACGGCGCUGGUUGUAACGGCGGCAAUUUUCUCCCUGUAAUUUCAAAUACAGCUACUACAUUCAGAGAUCUCUGAACGAGUGUAACACGACGGGAUCAGCUAAGAUCAGCACUACGCCACUA